rnacentral:ncRNA from 2 species
CUCUUAUUAAGAACCACAUAGAUGAGGAUCGUUUUAAAGUGGUGGCAACCCUUUAUGAAGAAGGUGCCUUUACCUAGCAAGGAAACUUGAACAAUAAGAG